UACGAAGGGGGCGAGCGUUGUUCGGAUUUACUGGGCGUAAAGGGCGCGCAGGCGGUUCUGUUUGUCGAGUGUGAAAGCCCCGGGCUCAACCUGGGAACUGCGCUCGAAACGGCGGAACUAGAGUUCGGGAGAGGAGAGUGGAAUUCCCAGUGUAGAGGUGAAAUUCGUAGAUAUUGGGAAGAACACCGGUAGCGAAGGCGGCUCUCUGGACCGAUACUGACGCUGAGGCGCGAAAGCGUGGGGAGCAAACAGG
rnacentral:rRNA from 1 species